rnacentral:tRNA from 1 species
GCGAGCUUAGCUCAGUUGGUUAGAGCGCCGGGUUGUGGUUCCGGAGGUCGUGGGUUCAAUCCCCAUAGUUCGCCCCA